GUGGGGAAUAUUGGACAAUGGGGGGAACCCUGAUCCAGCCAUGCCGCGUGUGUGAAGAAGGCCUUUUGGUUGUAAAGCACUUUAAGCGAGGAGGAGGCUACCGAGAUUAAUACUCUUGGAUAGUGGACGUUACUCGCAGAAUAAGCACCGGCUAACUCUGUGCCAGCAGCCGCGGUAAUACAGAGGGUGCAAGCGUUAAUCGGAUUUACUGGGCGUAAAGCGCGCGUAGGUGGCCAAGUAAGUCAAAUGUGAAAUCCCCGAGCUUAACUUGGGAAUUGCAUUAGAUACUGGUUGGCUAGAGUAUGGGAGAGGAUGGUAGAAUUCCAGGUGUAGCGGUGAAAUGCGUAGAGAUCUGGAGGAAUACCGAUGGCGAAGGCAGCCAUCUGGCCUAAUACUGACACUGAGGUGCGAAAGCAUGGGGAGCAAACAGGAUUAGAAACCCCAGUAGUCC
rnacentral:rRNA from 1 species